AAAACUACGGCGAUGCAGGAUCUCAGGCUGGAUAAAAUCAGAAUGUGCUUGGCUUUUGAGGUUAACACACCAGUUCUCUAUCGGGGAAGUAAAACUGCCCGAGUCACAGUCAGGAAAGAAAAGAAGACAGAAGACGCUACAGCUUUCCUGGGGGGUAAAUGUUAUCUAAGCAAGGAGUAGACUAUGAUGCAGAGAUUGUACCCAUAAUCUGGACAGAAUCAUGAAAGGGCGUUCAUCUUAUCUAAUAUACUCCUUUGGGGGACUUUUGUCCCUAUGGAUUCUUGUGGUGUCUUCCACAAACCAAUGCACUGUGAGAUACAACGUAGCUGACUGCAGCCAUUUGAAGCUGACACACAUACCUGAUGACCUUCCCUCUAAUAUAACAGUGUUGAAUCUUACUCACAAUCAACUCAGAGGAUUACCACCUGCCAAUUUUACGAGAUACAGCCAACUUGCUCUCUUGGAUGCAGGAUUCAACUCCAUUUCAAAACUGGAGCCAGAACUGUGCCAAAUUCUCCCUUUGUUGAAGGUAUUGAACCUGCAACACAAUGAGCUGUCUCAGAUUUCUGAUCAAACCUUUGCCUUCUGCACGAACCUGACAGAGCUCCAUCUAAUGUCCAACUCAAUACGCAAAAUUAAAAGCAACCCUUUCAAAAACCAGAAGAGUCUAAUCAAACUAGAUUUGUCUCGUAAUGGCUUAUCAUCUACAAAGUUGGGAACUGGAGUCCAACUGGAGAACCUCCAAGAGCUGCUCUUAGCUAAAAAUAAAAUUUUUGCACUACGAAGUGAAGAACUUGAUUUUCUUGGCAAUUCUUCCUUACAAAAAUUGGACUUGUCAUCAAAUCCACUUAAAGAGUUUUCUCCAGGGUGUUUCCAUGCGAUUGGCAAGUUAUUCGUCCUCCUCUUGAACAAUGCCCAACUGAACCUCAACCUCACAGAGAAGCUUUGUUGGGAACUUUCAAACACAAGCAUCCAGAAUCUCUCUCUGGCUAACAACCAGCUGUUAGCAACCAGCAACAGCACUUUCUCCGGGCUGAAGCAGACCAACCUCACCUCGCUUGAUCUUUCCUACAACAGCCUCCGAUACGUCGGUAACGAUGCCUUCUCUUGGCUCCCGCACCUGAAGUAUCUGUCCCUCGAGUACAAUAAUAUACAGAGUUUGACCCCUCACUCUUUUCGUGGACUUUCCAACCUGAGGUACCUGAGUUUGAAGCGAGCAUUUACUAAGCAAAGUGUUGCACUUGCUUCUCACCCCAACAUUGACGAUUUUUCCUUUCAGUGGCUAAAAUGUUUGGAACAUCUCAACAUGGACGAUAAUACUAUACCGGGUAUAAAAAGCAAUACUUUCACAGGAUUGGUGAGUCUGAAGUACCUAAGUCUUUCCAAAACUUUCACGGGUUUGCAAACGUUAACAAACGAAACGUUUGUGUCUCUUACUCAUUCUCCUUUGCUCACUCUCAAUUUAACGAAGAAUCACAUCUCGAAGAUAGCAAGUGGUACUUUCUCUUGGUUGGGUCAACUCAGGAUACUUGAUCUUGGCCUUAAUGAAAUUGAGCAAGAACUCACCGGCCAGGAAUGGAGAGGUCUGGGAAAUAUAUUUGAGAUCUACCUGUCCUAUAAUAAAUACCUCCAACUGACUAGCAAGUCCUUCACUUUGGUUCCCAGCCUUCAACGACUGAUGCUCAGGAGGGUGGCCCUUAAAAGUGUGGAUAUCUCCCCUUCGCCUUUCCGUCCCCUUUAUAACCUGACUAUUCUGGACUUAAGCAACAACAACAUUGCCAACCUGAACGAGGACUUGUUGGAGGGUCUUGAGAAUCUAGAAAUUCUGGAUUUUCAGCACAACAACUUAGCAAGACUCUGGAAACACGCAAACCCAGGUGGUCCCGUUAAUUUCCUGAAGGGUCUGUCUCACCUCCACAUCUUGAACUUAGAAUCCAAUGGCUUAGAUGAAAUCCCGGUCAAGGUGUUCAAGAACUUAUUCGAACUCAAGAGCAUCAAUCUAGGACUGAAUAAUUUAAACACGCUUCUACCAUCCAUUUUUGAUGACCAGACAUCUCUAAGGUCACUGAACCUUCAGAAGAACCUCAUCACAUCAGUUGAGAAGAGUGUUUUCGGGCCAGCUUUUCACAACCUGAACAGCUUAGAUAUGAGCUUCAAUCCGUUCGACUGUACAUGUGAAAGCAUUGCCUGGUUUGUUACCUGGCUUAACCAGACCCACACUAAUAUCCCUGAACUAUCCACUCAUUACCUCUGCAAUACCCCCCAGCGUUACCACGGCCUCCCAGUGAAGCUUUUUGACACAUCAUCCUGUAAAGACAGUGCCCCCUUCCAACUCCUAUUCAUAAUUAACACCAGUACGCUCCUGACUUUUAUACUUGCGGUACUGCUCAUUCACUUCGAGGGUUGGAGGAUAUCUUUUUACUGGAAUGUUUCAGUGCAUCGAAUUCUUGGUUUCAAGGAAAUAGAUGCACAGGGUGAGCAGUUCGAAUACACGGCAUACAUAAUUCAUGCCCAGAAAGACAGAGACUGGGUCUGGGAGCAUUUCUCCCCAAUGGAAGAACAAGACCAAUCUCUCAAAUUUUGCCUAGAAGAAAGGGACUUCGAAGCAGGGGUCCUUGGACUUGAAGCAAUUGUUAACAGCAUCAAAAGAAGCAGAAAAAUCAUCUUUGUUAUAACGCAUCACCUACUGAAAGACCCGCUGUGCAGAAGAUUCAAGGUGCAUCACGCGGUUCAGCAAGCUAUCGAGCAAAAUCUGGAUUCAAUUAUACUGAUUUUUCUCCAGAAUAUUCCAGAUUACAAACUAAACCAUGCACUCUGCUUGCGAAGAGGAAUGUUUAAAUCUCAUUGCAUCUUGAACUGGCCAAUUCAAAAAGAACGGAUAAACGCCUUUCAUCAUAAACUGCAAGUAGCACUUGGGUCUCGGAAUUCAGCACAUUAAACUUAUUUGAAGAUUUGGAAUUGGUGAAGGGAUAGAUCCAAUUUAUAAAGGAGAGUUAAAUAACUUUCUAAGCCAUAUUAUAGAAAGCUCUGCUUACAGAACCCUGGUCAAUAAAGUGUCUUUGUGGAAAACAGCAAUUCCAUCCCCUUGUCACAGACUUGGGAAGUGGUUUUGGCCAAAUUACUGGGUCUUGGUGGGAUUCUUUGGUAUGUUUUUACAUAAUAUUUUAAUUGAUUAUCUGGGAAUUUCACAUCAUGAAUCAUGACCACACUCAUUUCCUAGACUUCCCAGGUCUGCCCCCACCCCCUCCCAUGAACUCCCAAGAAAAAGAAGAAACAGGAGAAGGAGGAGGAGGAGAAGGAAGAUGAAAAAGAGGAGAAGAAGAAAGAAGAGGAAGAGGAGGAAGGGAAGAGGGAGGGGAGGAAGAGGAGGAAGAGGAAUAGGAGAAGGAAGAAUAAGAGGAGGAGGGGAAGAGGAAGAGGAGGAGGAGACGUAUGUUCAACUUGUGUUGUCCAUAUUCUCACUGGAGCAUGGUUAAACUCCAAGUGGGCAGCCCUUAAAGAAAACAGUUCUUCCCCACCUGCACCCCCGCCAGAAGUCAUCAGCUGUGAAGAACUACAGUUCAGCAUCCUUAACACAAUUUUAAGAAUUCCCUUCAGUGGAUUCCUGUCUAAGCAACGAGAGGAUACACAUUGGGCAACUUAGCCCCUAGUUAAAAAAAAAUGGUCAGAAUAAGUUUUACCUUUAACAAAACAAAGCCUUUAGUUUUUGUUUUGUGAUAAAAAGAAUAGACAUAUUGGAAACACACAUCCAAAGCUUUUGGAAACAUCUCUUGUUCAUAAGGAAGAGUGUAAGUUGAAGUGCAGUUAACAGCUGUCUUGCUGACAAUGUUAGCCACCCCCGUCCACUGCGGGGCUCCUCUGUUCUUUCUUUUCUCAUGCCAUACUCUUUAGCAUGAACUGACUUGGGAAAUCCCACAUGAGAUGUUUAGAAGAGAAAGCACUCAGUGGUGAUCAGAAGGGAGUUGAAUAGAUAGGGAGUUGGGAGAAGGCCAUAAAGAAGUGGCGUUUGCUCUGUGCUGUGAAUAGGAGGGAGCCUUCCAGAGGGGAUUAGGAAAGAUGAUCCUUGCUGAGGGCUGAGUACCUACAAAAGCUACUUCUUUUUUCCAUGUUCUUUACUUGUUCUCUCCAUUUGUUUUAUUGAAUCUCUUUUAAAAAUCAGUUUGGACUCAACUUAAACUUGUAUUUUGUAUUAAAGACCAAUACCGUUUGAUGGUUUAGCUCAAAUUGCUUCAGCACUGGAUUUUGGGGUAUUCUUAGUAGACUUUUGUGUCCCUUUAUCCCCUUCAUGUACUGUGUCACCCUCCUCCUCCUCCUCUCCCUCCUCCUCCCCCUCCCCCUCCUCCAUGUCUCUCUGUCUGUCUCUGUAUGUCUCUCUCUCUCUCUCUCUCUCUCUCUCUCUCUCUCUCUCUCUCUCGUAUGCUUGCCGUGUGUGUGUGUGUGUGUGUGUGUGUGUGCGCGUGCUAAAUUGUACUUUUGGAAUUGAAUUGUGUUCCAAGAUAAUCCUGGAUGUUCCCUUGCUCCAUGUCUGAGCCAUCUACAAGGAGUCUUGGACCCUUUAAAUUGAGAAUAGCAUUAGUAUACCUGAACGUGCUUAUUAGUAAGUAAAUGCCCUCCUUUUAGGUCUCCCAUACCUACAAAGCAAGACAUGUGAGGGCACAUCACUCAUACACAUGUACAUAUGUAUGAAUAGUUCCGUAUCUGUGUGCAUCUCUAAUAUGUAUAUAAACUAACUAAUCCGUAUGUCACAAUAAACAAUAGCACAUUGUGGUGCCACCAAUUCUAAUCCAUUACCACACUCAUCAUCUUAAUCUUCCCCUUGCUUUCCGCACACUGAUCUCUUUACUUAAUCAUCUGAUUCUAUACAUACCCCUAUCAGAAUUGUUAACCCCUGUGCUGUGGAAAGCAACUUCGUAGCUAUGAUAAAAUGCUUGUAUAUAAUACCUUUUGCAUACGUUUUAUGAACUGUUUCCCAAAGUUGCCCCAGCUAGCAUUUCCCCUUGCUCCCUUCAAUGAGGUUAACCUGUCCCUAUGUACCAGUGUUACUUUCUUUCAUAACAGUUUUUACCCCACCCUAGGAUUCCCGCAUCUCUGGGAUUAUUUUGGUUUCAUUCGCAUACACAAAAGCCUAUACUUUGUGUGUUGAAGUUUUAUGGAUUUUUGACAAAUGUACUACAUCUUAACCUUUAUCACUUGCACUCUUACAGGAUAGUUUUCUCACCCUAAAACUUUUCAUUAAACGGGGCUAAAGCAAUAAUUUACAAACUUAAAUUAACCCACGGAAGCCCAGCACACAGGCAGAUAGCUUACAAGCACCUAUAACUUCAGCUGCAAGAAACCCGACACCCUCUUCUCAUCUCUGAGGAGUUGCACAUGUAAGUCUGCCUACUCACACACAGACACACACAAAUACCAAUAAAUAGAAAUAAGAUAAAAAUCAAAAAUUAUUUAUUUAAAUUUGACUCUCAGAACUCUCAUCAACUAUGGCUUAUUUACUAAUUCUGUAGGUGUAUGAUUUACAUAAAGUCAUAUGCAUAAAAUCAUUUAGUAUGUUGCUAAAAAUGCUGGGUUCAUUGAUUUGCAACACUGUCAUUUGCUGAAUUUAGGAAGCAAUUUGCUGACAUAGUCAGGUACUUGGAUGUAAAUAUUUCAGCGCCUGGGUUCUGAGUUUACAGGGCUGCAAUAAGCAGUGGAAACAGUAUCAGGGCAGGCUACAAGGGAGAGAGAAAGCAGCCCCUAGUGACAACCGAAGGCUGAUGUAACAGAGAUGUAUCACAGGAGAAGGUCACAUGACCACUAGAAUCUACUCACACCAAUACGGCCAGCCGUGAUGACUGCUAACUGCCCUUUGCUUCUGCAGUCUCCAAUCAUCAGUCAUGAGACAUUGGCCGUUCUCAACUGUCACUGAGCUCCAUGACACAUCUGAAAAUCCACGAGAACAGAAAAGAAGUGUAAAUCCUAUCCCAAGAAUUCCUGUCUUCACUUAGUUCAUGAAUAAUCCUCUCCUUUAUUGACUUUGACCAUAUGAUAUACUGUGUACAAAGCCAGCAGAUUUGUGGCUCACUCUGAGAAUGCACUUCUGUAUUAAACAUAUACUUUUGUUCUAUAAUAAAACUUCAAAUC